rnacentral:rRNA from 1 species
GGGCCCGCACAAGCAGUGGAUUAUGUGGUUUAAUUCGAAGCAACGCGAAGAACCUUACCAGGUCUUGACAUCGUGCGCAUACCAUAGAGAUAUGGGAAGCCCUUCGGGGCGCAUAGACAGGUGGUGCAUGGUUGUCGUCAGCUCGUGUCGUGAGAUGUUGGGUUAAGUCCCGCAACGAGCGCAACCCUUACGAUUAGUUGCUACGCAAGAGCACUCUAAUAGGACUGCCGUUGACAAAACGGAGGAAGGUGGGGAUGACGUCAAAUCAUCAUGCCCCUUAUGACCUGGGCUACACACGUAAUACAAUGGCGGUAAACAACGGGAAGCAAUACUGUGAAGUGGAGCAAAUCCCCAAAAGCCGUCUCAGUUCGGAUUGCAGGCUGCCAACCCGCCUGCAUGAAGUCGGAAUUGCUAGUAAUCGCGGAUCAGCAUGCCG